UUGCAAUCAUACAAACGAAACGCGCCUUUACUACGACAGUACACAAAAAGCAUGUAAAUAUUUCACCUAUGGUGGAUGUGGUGGAAAUGGCAACAAUUUCAGAAGUAUUCAGCAAUGCACGCUUCGAUGCCCAUUUUACAAGUUGAAGAAUGACUUGUGCCAAAGAACACCGGGACACACUGUGUGCCUAUUUAGCGGUGAUUAUGAAUGGAUGUGGUAUUACAGCGGGCGUAGUGGUCGGUGUUACCAGUUCAAGCAUGGUCGUUGUGGCCCUCUGUAUAUGAACAUCUUCGCAACGUGUGAAGCCUGCGUAGAACGAUGCAAACAUCACAUGUAUUACCUACAAAAGUGCCCGGAGUAGCAUCAUUCACGCAAUGCUGAAAGAUAUGUGGUCACUGUAGAUAUUUACAAUAAAUUCUAUAUAAAAU